UGUUUACAAAGACUAAGGUCCAUGCCUCAGUGUGUCAAUCAGUUUGCAGCCUGCAAAAUAAGCAUACUCGUUAAAGACAACCUAAAAUUAGUGAGACACUAGUCACUAUAAGAUCCAUAAUCAAAUUCAUGACAAACUCAAAAUACAGUGUAAUGGUGAAAUGUUUUUGUUUCUUCACUGAUCUGCAGAUCCGUGAAAUUUAGAUAGGUAAGAAUAGUUAAAAGAGACAUUUGAUAUAAGUCCAUUAGCAUUCAAAGCUAAACAUUGUCAACAGACUACUCAGAUUUUCCAAGAUUGACUAUCUUGGCAUCAGCUCGCGUCUUCUCUCUUACAUUCUUCUUAAUUAUCUGAGAGUUAAGUAUUAAUUUGUGUUAAUUGAAUAUCAUUAACAGAUGAAUAAUAUUAGAAGUGGAAUUAGAGGUUAUCGUGUAAGUUUCCAGAGUUUCUACAUUCACAAUAUUCUGUUUAGCAAUAUUUUGUUUCGGACUUCAAUUGUAAUUUUUCUAGCGGACAUGUAGAAGUAACAAUCGUGAUAAUCGAGGCUCUGCCGUAUAUUUAUAGGCGGGCACGAAGGAUCUAAACACGGCCUUCUUAAUUCCACUUUUCAGCUUGACUUGUAGUGGAUAGACGAUCUCAGCUUGGUAACUGCUGGUGCUUUUGACAGAUGAUACCUUGUCUUCCAAUGUUUUGGACAGCAUGGAAGGUUUAGCAGACUACAGUUAUAGUUCUUCUUGUAAGCAGCGCAGGGAGCUUUUCUGGUGCCCCACCAGUUACCUGGGUUGCCUUUGGAAGUUCACUGUUGUAAUUCUAGUAUUUUGAAUCUCGAGUCUUUAUAGACCAUGGUUGCCACUGUGGAGUGCAUCAUUUGGUCUCUAGAGUGUACACAGUUGCUGCAUUACAUACAUAUGCGGAUGAGUUCUGUAAAUUCAAAAAUUUUGAGAUACCACGAUCCAUGCUUGGAUAUUGUUUUGGACAGCCAUUGAAUUGCCAAGUUGGAAAUGAUCUUCUAAA